rnacentral:rRNA from 1 species
UCGGUAUGCGCGCAGCCUGAUCAGCCAUGCCGCGUGUGUGAAGAAGGCCUUCGGGUUGUAAAGCACUUUUGUCCGGGAAGAAGGGGCUUUGGUUAAUACUUGGUGGUGAUGACGGUACCGGAAGAAUAAGGACCGGCUAACUACGUGCCAGCAGCCGCGGUAAUACGUAGGGUGCAAGCGUUAAUCGGAAUUACUGGGCGUAAAGCGUGCGCAGGCGGUUGUGUAAGACCGAUGUGAAAUCCCCGGGCUCAACCUGGGAACUGCAUUGGAGACUGCACGGCUAGAGUGUGUCAGAGGGGGGUAGAAUUCCACGUGUAGCAGUGAAAUGCGUAGAGAUGUGGAGGAAUACCGAUGGCGAAGGCAGCCCCCUGGGAUAACACUGACGCUCAUGCACGAAAGCGUGGGGAGCAAACAGGAUUAGAUACCCUGGUAGUCCACGCCCUAAACGAUGUCUACUAGUUGUUGGGGAUUCUUUUCCUUAUUAACGUAGCUAACGCGUGAAGUUGACCGCCUGGGGAGUACGGUCGCAAGAUUAAAACUCCAGAAUUUUGACGGGG